CCUACGGGAGGCAGCAGUAGGGAAUAUUGCUCAAUGGGGGAAACCCUGAAGCAGCAACGCCGCGUGGAGGAUGAAGGUUUUCGGAUUGUAAACUCCUUUUGUUAGAGAAGAUAAUUACGGUAUCUAACGAAUAAGCACCGGCUAACUCCGUGCCAGCAGCCGCGGUAAUACGUAGGAGGCAAGCGUUAUCCGGAAUGACUGGGCGUAAGGGGUGCGUAGGUGGUUUGACAAGUUAGUAGCGUAAUUCCGGGGCUCAACUUCGGAACUACUACUAAAACUGUUGGGCUUGAGUGCAGGAGAGGUGAAUGGAAUUCCUGGUGUAGCGGUGGAAUGCGUAGAUAUUAGGAGGAACACCAGCGGCGAAGGCGAUUCACUGGACUGUAACUGACACUGAGGCACGAAAGCGUGGGGAGCAAACAGGAUUAGAUACCCGUGUAGUC
rnacentral:rRNA from 1 species